UUAUCAACAUUAUUCUGCACAUCUUUCCUUGCUGAUUCCAAACAGAGUCGUCCCGACAUUUUCUGAUGUGAAAGCAUCUCGAUCGCCAAGUACGCUGGGCUAGGAAGAAUACCGUUAUCACUAGGCUCAAGGUUCUCCAGUAGUUCUCGGCGAGCAAUAUUAGCGUCAUAUACAGCUUGUGCAAUGUCAUUGGCGGUCCGUAUGCUUGCACUCUGAAAGAAUACUUAUUCAGUUGAUAUGUAUUAACAACGUUUUGCCUAUGACGUAUUUGACUUUUAGAUUUUAAUUUACUAAUUAAAACAAAAUUCCUUACCUUUCUUAUCACGCAUUUAAAGAAAACAAAAGUAUCUUACCUCAAAACCUGUAGCACGGGUGAUAACAUCUUUCACAACACCAAAUACUUCGGUAAUCAGUUGUUUGUCCCCUGGCCCAUAGACUUGUGGAAUAUUGUAGGUUCGGAAUCUGUGAGGGAAGCGAAUUGCAUCUGCAAAAUUAUUAGUUAUUGAUUAUUUCAAACAAGUCAAUCUCACUUUUGGUUCGCGCAAUUUCCUUAGUUCCACACGGCAAUAUUUUAUCAUAGCAUCUGUACAUUUCUGUAAACGCGCAGCCGUUUGCUUGUAACAUUGUGUAUCGAACGGAAUGUUUAUGGUAUAUUCUAUUCAUCUUUCUUUUCCUCUUUUUGAGUGGCGGUAGAGAGCGAUCAAUCAUUUUUUGUUGAUGGAACCAUGAAACAUCAAGGAACAUUUUUUCACGGUACUGGUAGUCAAUGAAAACUGAAUCAGAUGACGUUGAUCGCAUUAACUUUGACGGCUUCUGGAAUACGUUUUCACUGUCACUUAAAUAUCCUUCAAAUUCGGAGUCGACGCUGAAAAAAUUUCAUAAGGCAAUUUUUGAGCAAUGGAUAAACAUACUCGGAAGGUACACCCUCAAUUUCGAAAUUGUUUUGUUGCAUUGCUGCAUCAUAUCUUGUCUUCGAUUUUCUUCCAGGCUUUUUCUUUGCAGGCUCGUUGACAAUUUGUUUUUUCGCACGUGGAACAACGUAACUUGGAUCGUACAGUUUAAUGCGGUAAUUAAGUAAAUCUUUCCGUGUAAAGAACUUCACCACUCCAUCAGCAUUGCAACCAAUGGAAAUUUGAUAGUUGUUUGGUAUUUUGUCAAAUUCAAAUGUGUACACAUCUCCCGAUGACGUCAGAACUCCCGAUUCCAUGUAAUCCGAAUUGAAAACUCUUAGACGCUCAGAAUCGAUUUCUUCUGUGACGACUUUUGCUCCACCGGUAAUAAUUAGAAAAGCUGAUAGAUAGUCUUUAUUACUGGUUGCUCGACCGUGCUGAAAGAAAAUAAUAAGGUACAGUUUGACGUUUGUGGCUUACAUCGUAAAAGGUCCGUAAUCCAAACUUUACAGCAAAAGAUUUUGCAUCCAUGUUUGACUGCUCGAUCUGAAAUGGAACACACUUUUUAUAAUAAAAAUUGCAAUUUGUAACUUUUAAAACUUACAAGAUAAACAAUUUCUUUUAG
ensembl:antisense_RNA anr-16 ncRNA